GGUGGGGUAACGGCCUACCAAGGCUGCGAUGGUUAGCUGGUCUGAGCGGAUGAUCAGCCACACUAGAACUAGACACGGUCCGGACUCCUACGGGAGGCAGCAGUGAGGAAUAUUGCGCAAUGGACGAAAGUCUGACGCAGCCACGCCGCGUGUGGGAUGAAGCCCUUGCGGGUGUAAACCACUGUUAGGAGGGACGAGUGCUGAUGUUUUGCAUCAGAGAGACGGUACCUCCAGAGGAAGCUCCGGCUAACUCCGUGCCAGCAGCCGCGGUAAUACGGGGGGAGCGAGCGUUGUCCGGAAUCACUGGGCGUAAAGAGCAUGUAGGCGGGAUUGUAAGUCAGAGGUGUAAGCCCGGAGCUUAACUUCGGAAUGGCCUUUGAAACUGCAGUUCUUGAGUACGGAAGAGGGAAGCGGAAUUCCAGGUGUAGCGGUGAAUGCGUAGAUAUCUGGAAGAACACCGGUGGCGAAGGCGGCUUCCUGGUCCGUUACUGACGCUGAGAUGCGAAAGCGUGGGGAGCAAACAGGAUUAGAUACCCUGGUAGUCCACGCCUUAAACGAUGAACACUAGAUGUUGGGAGAUUCGACCCUCCCAGUGUCGUAGCUAACGCGUUAAGUGUUCCGCCUGGGGAGUACGAUCGCAAGGUUGAAACUCAAAGGAAUUGACGGGGGCCCGCACAAGCGGUGGAGCAUGUGGUUUAAUUCGAUGCAACGCGAAGAACCUUACCUGGGCUUGAACUGUGCCGGAAACCUUCUGAAAGGAAGGCCUCCCUCGGGACUGGUACAGAGGUGCAGCAUGGCUGUCGUCAGCUCGUGUCGUGAGAUGUUGGGUUAAGUCCUGCAACGAGCGCAACCCUUGCCGUUAGUUGCCAUCAGGUUAUGCUGGGCACUCUAGCGGGACUGCCGGAGUUAAUCCGGAGGAAGGCGGGGAUGACGUCAAGUCCUCAUGGCCCUUACGUCCAGGGCUACACACGUGCUACAAUGGAUGGUACAAAGGGUCGCAAGACCGCGAGGUGGAGCCAAUCCCAUAAAACCAUCCUCAGUUCGGAUUGUACUCUGCAACUCGAGUACAUGAGGUCGGAAUCGCUAGUAAUCGUAGAUCAGCACGCUACGGUGAAUAUGUUCCCGGGCCUUGUACACACCGCCCGUCACACCAUGGAAGUCGGGAGUACCCGAAGUCAGUGCAUCAAUAGUGCUGCCGAAGGUAAGCUCGAUGACUAGGGUGAAGUCGUAACAAGGUA
rnacentral:rRNA from 1 species